UACUACCCGUUAGUGGUACUGUUCACAUUUGCGGCCAACAGUUUCAGGGUACUUUUAUCCCCUCCUACCACCCCCAACAGCAAUUAAAAAAAAAAAAGGAGAAACUAAAAGCCGGAACUCGUGAAAACAGGAUUAUCUAAAAGAUAAAAUGACUGAUACAGAAUUCUCACCGUGUAAAGGGUUUCUGCUGGCUUCCUUUAAGGCAUGAACUUGGAGUGAAACACAGUGAGAGACUUUACAAGUUUGAGUCACAAGCAUUUGUGGAAUGGAGCGGGGGAUGGGGAGUUUUUGUUUUUUUUUUUUUUUUUUCUAAUUCUGGUGAGGUAAUAAAUUGUCCGGAACCUUUUAAAAAAAAGGUUUACAAACCCAGACUGGCAACUUGACAAGCCUUUGGCACAGGUGUGGACAUGUUUGGAGCAAAGAAGGCUGAAGGACAAGUAUGCACCAUCUUUUGCUCUCUGAGAGACCAGAAUGUGGCUAUCAUGGAGCCCUUCGAUUUUAACAGAGAUCCUUUCUCUAUAACUAAUUCAACGCAUGGCUAUAUGGGUAAUUUUGAACAAGUGGAUCUUUCUCCAACCUGAAAGGCUGCCAGGACAAAGAGGGAGUGAGAAAAAGAGGGUUUCAAAAGCAGUCAUAGAGAACCACAAAAUAAUCACGAAGCACUUCUGUAUUGCCACAAUCUCCUUACAGAAGUGCAUUGAGAGGUGAUGAUAUGGAACAGAGAGGACACAUCGUUGCAAUAAAAUACUCUAUAA